UUUUGAAGUUUCCCUCAGGAUAGCUGAAGUACGUAAUGAAGCUGUUAUAUUCGGUAAAGCGAAUGAUCAGAGGAAUUGUGGGGAGAAACGUCUUCAACCCAUUCUCAAACUUUCGAUGAGUAUGACGUCUUACUUGCUUGAAUGAAACGUGGACAUUGAAUGUGUACUCCAAGUGGGCCAUUCUUGGUAAGCAGAAGUGGCGCUGUGGAAUAAACCAAACGUUAAGGUAUAAGUCUUCCGUUCAGUAAAUGGCUGAAUUGAAUCGACAAUCACAUCAUGAAGAAAAGAAAAGAUUCGUCAUCGAAUAAUAA
rnacentral:ncRNA from 1 species